AAGGGUAUAAUAGUAAAAUUAUAAUAAAUUAGGAUGUAAAUAUCUUUUUUGAAACAUUAGGGAGAUUUUUGUCCCUUUGCCUAAACGUUAGGAGUGUGUUUGUCAUUUUCCCCAAAUUAUAAUGGUGGUACAAGUAGGGAUGGCAAUGGGGAGGGGAGGGGACCAAUCUCCCCGUACCCAUCCCCGAUAUUUUGCGUAUGUCCCCGUCCCCUCCGCGUCCCCGUCAAAAUUACUUGAGAGAAUCUUCAUCCCCCCCCGAAUAAUAAUAGGGGAUCCCCCAAGGUCCCCGAUCCCUGAAUAAUUAAUACAUUUUUUUAUUUUCGAUUUUGAGUUAAUUAUAUUAAAAUAAAAAAUUCAAAUAAAAGUAAAGUUUGAAAUAUAUCUUACAUUAAUAUCCAUUAUAAAAGUCACAUACAUUAAAUUAGUAAGUAACGUAGCAUGCAAGGGAUACAAACUUCUUUUACAAACUAUCAUGAACAAAUUAAUAGUCUAAUACAAAAUUGUUACAAAUAAAAUCGAAUUUAGAUUCAAAAUUAACUUUUUCAAUGGUGGCGUGGGCGCUUUAUAAAUGUGGACUAUUCCCUGUACAACACAAUAGUUAAAUCAGAGCAAAUCAAGAGCAAAUAUGAGAUUAUAUUAGAUUAGAUAUUAAAAUUGUGAUUCGCUGUGGGCAAUUAUAACAUCUAAA
rnacentral:lncRNA from 1 species